rnacentral:tRNA from 1 species
GAGGGUAUAGCUUAGUGGUAGAGCACAUACUUACUAGCAUGCAUGAGGUCUGGGGUUUAAUUCCCAGUUCCUCUA